CUAUCUCUAAAACUUUAUCUUUUGGUUUCCUUUUGCUGGUGAGUUUGGGCUUAGCUUCGGCGGCCCGAUCUCUUCUUUCUUACGAUAUUCCUCCUCAUCGAUCUGGAUACGAUAAUUAUGAUCAUCCUGUAGUUAACCCUAAAGUAGGAUACGAACAUGACCGUCGUGAUGGAUACUACCAUGACCGUGACCAUCAUGAUGCACCUUAUGGUGGUGGUGCUGGUGGAGGAUAUGGAGCUGGAGCUGGAGCUGGCUCAUCUCUUGGAGGCUCUGGAUAUGGAAGUGGAGGAGGUGGUGGUUCUGGAUAUGGAGGUGUAGGAAACCACGAGGUUGGUUAUGGUAGUGGUGGAGGGGGUGGAUAUGGAGCUGGAGUUGGCUCUGACCUUGGUGGUAGCGGAUACGGAAGCGGUGGUGGUGGAGGCAGUGGAGGAGGAUACGGUGAUUUAGGAGGACGUGGAAAAGGGUACGGUAGCGGUGGAGGUGGAGGAAGUGGAUAUGGAGGUAGAGGAGACCAUGGAGUUGGUUAUGGAAGUGGUGGAGGUGGAGGAUAUGGAAGUGGAGUAGGUGGUGGUGCAGGAGUGGUAGACCAUGGUGUAGGUUAUGGGAGUGGAGGAGGAGGUGGGGCUGGUAGUGGUUAUGGUGGUUCCAAAGGAUAUGGAGGUGGAAGCGGCGGCGGUGGGGGAGCCGGUUAUGGUGGUGGAGCACAUGGAAGUGGAUAUGGAAGUGGUGGUGGAGCUGGAAGUGGUGAAGAAGGAGGAUAUGAUGGUGGAUAUGCACCGUAAACAAAGAAAAGAAAAGAAAAAGCUCAAAGUUUUAUGGCUAAAAUGAGAAUGCUUACCCUAAUAUCAUCAAUGUGUGUGUGUGUUAGCAAAAAAAAAAAAUAAAAGAAUUUGGGUAAGAAAUGUUAUAUUAAUUAUCUUUGAGCUUUUAAGUAAUUUGAAUGUAAUAUAAUAUAUAUAUAAAAAAAGCUAAUCCAUGUGUUCCAAAGUGAACCAACAUGAAGUAUAUUUUCUCCCUUUGUCAUCAUGAUCAUCUUAAACUUGUGGUUAUUAUGUGGGCUCUCAUUAUUAUUCCAAGAUAGCAACGUCGGGAUAUUCAAAUAUUUUUCAUAUGUAAUGUCUUAAGACUAAAUCACUAUGAUCUAUAUGCUUUAAUUAAGUUCAAAACUAUUUUGGAAGCAUUAUGAUUAAUAUAUUGAUUACUUAAAUACUAUUAUAUGGUUUUCAAGGUAACUUGAUGUUGUUAAUAAAAGAAAUCUUUAAUAUUUAAUCAGUCCUUUCUCUUAAAAUUUAGUAAAAAUAAAUACUAAAAUGGUAUGAUGUUUUAUGGUUGGAUUUGGGGUAUGUGUUUUGGCUUGUCCCUCUAGUUGUGACUUGUUCAAAAUAAGUGUACAAUCAAAUUCACUUGGGUUAUUAAAGACAAUUGAUAAACAAAAAUUGCCAAAACGAUAGAGCAUAACUAUUUAAUCGGUAUAAAACUUGUACAAUCCAUUAAUCAUAAUAUACUUUUUCUAAUUGAUCUCUAAUUGAUCGUACAUACUAGUUAGUGUCGAUAAAAAACUCAAUUUGACGUAUAAAUAUUUGUUUGUUGUAAAUGAACAUCUAAGUAUAUUCUUGAUUAAUUAUUCUUAUACUAAGAGUAACAUUGACCCCUCUAUUCUUUAGUAUUUGGUUAAAAGAAUAAAAAAUUAGUAAGUGAUGAAUCUUAGUGUGCUAUAGGUUGAUCAACCAAUUAAAAUUAGUCGUUUCAAGCAAUACUUUCGAAAAAAUUCAUUAAAUAGGAGUUAUUUAAACUAUCAACCCUGAGUUUUUAUACAUUACAAUAAAUUUAAUCUUUGAUGUCGGUCAAAAACUAAUAUAUAGGAGUACAAUAUAGAUCACCAGAUCGAUAUGGAAGACAAUGUUAUGGAAGAUGUUCAAUGUUAAUCACUUUUAUGUUCGUUUUGGUCUUGGCAUUAUAAAUAAUUUAAAUGGUAGUUUUUGCUCACACUACAAAUGUGUUAGACUAUUAGUCAUCAAA
rnacentral:lncRNA from 1 species